AUUGAACGCUGGCGGCAUGCUUUACACAUGCAAGUCGAACGGUAACAGGCCGCAAGGUGCUGACGAGUGGCGCACGGGUGAGUAAUGCAUCGGAACGUGCCCAGGCGUGGGGGAUAACUACUCGAAAGAGUAGCUAAUACCGCAUACGAUCUAUGGAUGAAAGCGGGGGACCGUAAGGCCUCGCGCGAUUGGAGCGGCCGAUGUCAGAUUAGGUAGUUGGUGGGGUAAAGGCUCACCAAGCCAACGAUCUGUAGCUGGUCUGAGAGGACGACCAGCCACACUGGGACUGAGACACGGCCCAGACUCAUACGGGAGGCAGCAGUGGGGAAUUUUGGACAAUGGGCGCAAGCCUGAUCCAGCAAUGCCGCGUGCAGGAAGAAGGCCUUCGGGUUGUAAACUGCUUUUGUACGGAACGAAACGGCUCUGGUUAAUACCCGGGGCUAAUGACGGUACCGUAAGAAUAAGCACCGGCUAACUACGU
rnacentral:rRNA from 1 species